GAUGAACGCUGGCGGCGUGCCUAAUACAUGCAAGUCGAGCGAACGGACGAGAAGCUUGCUUCUCUGAUGUUAGCGGCGGACGGGUGAGUAACACGUGGAUAACCUACCUAUAAGACUGGGAUAACUUCGGGAAACCGGGGCUAAUACCGGAUGAUAUUUUGAACCGCAUGGUUCAAAAGUGAAAGACGGUCUUGCUGUCACUUAUAGAUGGAUCCGCGCUGCAUUAGCUAGUUGGUAAGGUAACGGCUUACCAAGGCAACGAUGCAUAGCCGACCCGAGAGGGUGAUCGGCCACACUGGAACUGAGACACGGUCCAGACUCCUACGGGAGGCAGCAGUAGGGAAUCUUCCGCAAUGGGCGAAAGCCUGACGGAGCAACGCCGCGUGAGUGAUGAAGGUCUUCGGAUCGUAAAACUCUGUUAUUAGGGAAGAACAUAUGUGUAAGUAACUGUGCACAUCUUGACGGUACCUAAUCAGAAAGCCACGGCUAACUACGUG
rnacentral:rRNA from 1 species